UACGUAGGGAGCAAGCGUUGUCCGGAAUCAUUGGGCGUAAAGCGCGCGUAGGUGGUCAUGUAAGUCCGCUGUGAAAGUCAAAGGCUCAACCUUUGAAAGCCGGUGGAUACUGCAUGGCUAGAGUACGGAAGAGGCGAGUGGAAUUCCUGGUGUAGCGGUGGAAUGCGCAGAUAUCAGGAGGAACACCAAUAGCGAAGGCAGCUCGCUGGGACGUUACUGACACUGAGGCGCGAAAGCGUGGGGAGCGAACAGG
rnacentral:rRNA from 1 species